CAAGAAUGGAAAAUCUGCCUUAUUUAUCCUUGUUUGUUCAUUGCCUUGAACCUUUGGACACCUGGCAGGUUCUCGAUGAUGAGAACCCAGGGCACUCAGCUGUGGUGUGAGAGAGCAUGACUCUGGCUGCCACCCUCUUCUAUCUACCUGAAGCUUCCACUAGCUGAGCUGUAUUCCACUAGUUGCAGUAUGGAACCAGCACCUUGGGAGGUGAAGGCAGGAGGAUCGUCAGGACUUCAAGAUUAUCCUCAGCUACAUACAUGCCUGUCUGGAAUCUCAUGCACCCCUUCAGGAGAUGAGGGAUGGAGACAAGAGAAUCAUUGAAGGCUCAGAGCUGAUUGGUCUGGAGUACACAGCAGAGAACACAGUUGUGUAUCCAGCACCCAGAAUAAAAGAACAUAAAACUACCAGUACCCCAGAAGAUCCCCAGAUGGGAGCCUUCAUCUAGAUUCCUUUCCUUUUUUUCCUGGUUUUUGUAGAGCAAAAAAAUCAUAUACUGAUCAUCCUUCUCUGCCUGGAUUCUUUUUGUUUCUUUUGUUCUUUUUUAUUGUUUUCAGACAGGGUUUCCUUUUGUAGCCCUGGAUACCCUGGAACUCACCCUGUCGACCAGGCUGGCUUCAAACUCUCACAGAGAUCUGCCUGCCUCUGCCUCCUGAGUGCUGGGGUCAAAGAUUUGGAAACUGGACUUGAAGAGGUUAGCACUUGGCAAAGCGACAUGACUGUAGACCCCCAUUCUGGAACCAGAAGCCAAAAUAACCUCUGUCUUCUGAUACUGCUUGGAAGAGUGAAUCCAUGAUCUGAGGAGAUCGCUUAUGUGAGGAGGAGGCAGAUGUGAGAAAUAGGACAUUAAACUAUGAUUUGGAGGAGGAAUAAAUGGGUACCCGCUGAAGACCUAAACUACUGAGAAUCAGUCAUCCAGGAGAUCAGACAGGGACCAUGUCUACUCCUUAAUUUGAAUGAACACUCAAGAACUACUGCAGGAAAAUGGGGAAGAGGCCCAAGAAUGGGAUAAAAUUCAGAAAGUAUGCUCUCAUAGAAACGUCGAAGAACAGUGGAUGCAUUGUUGAUCUGAAAAUAGGUUUAGAAGCAGCACUAAGUUCUGGUACCCAUAAUUCAUUGCGAUGAAACUGGUUGACAAAGGAAGUGGUUGACAGCUGUCAGAGAAGGAUCUGCCAAAACUGAACAGUCAGCCCCACCCGAGGAGGGCUGAGGGUGGAAGGCUAAACACCCUGACCAUCCAUUUCUCCACACGCCCACAUUCAAGGUUGCUGAGAGUGCCGCCCAGCCUGCAGUUCAGGAGAUCUGGAUGUCCCUGAGAUUCUAGCUUAUUCCACUCAAUUCACCAAAUAUCUGUGAUGUACCAACUGGGUGUCUAGUGUUGGAGCUGUAAACAUGAACGUCUUCUUUAGAAAUGGUCUCCCUUCCCUCAACAAAGUACAAGUGGCACAUCUAGGCAACUUCAAAUCCAGACACUGAUCCAAGAGACCUGAAUUCCUCUGUAGGUGUUCCUGUAAAGUGGGAAGGUGGUCCCACCCCCCCCUUGCCCCAACAAAGACAUGGUGACACUGGUCAAGGCCAUGGGAAGCCGGGCUGAGCCACCUCUGCAGUCCUCCAGCCAGCACUUCAGAGUACUGGCUGUCAACCAUGGGACAACUUUUUCCUCAUUUUGUGCCUUCAGAAUUCAGAACGACCAGACAGUACAAGACAGGCGUCUAGCUUCUGUGGGGCCCUGAAGAACUUCCUUCCGGGUCUCAGACACAACG
ensembl:lncRNA